rnacentral:rRNA from 1 species
GACGAACGCUGGCGGCGUGCUUAUCACAUGCAAGUCGAACGGAAAGGCCCUGCUUUUGUGGGGUGCUCGAGUGGCGAACGGGUGAGUAACACGUGAGUAACCUGCCCUUGACUUUGGGAUAACCUCAGGAAACUGGGGCUAAUACCGGAUAGGAGCUCCUGCUGCAUGGUGGGGGUUGGAAAGUUUCGGCGGUUGGGGAUGGACUCGCGGCUUAUCAGCUUGUUGGUGGGGUAGUGGCUUACCAAGGCUUUGACGGGUAGCCGGCCUGAGAGGGUGACCGGCCACAUUGGGACUGAGAUACGGCCCAGACUCCUACGGGAGGCAGCAGUGGGGAAUAUUGCACAAUGGGCGGAAGCCUGAUGCAGCAACGCCGCGUGCGGGAUGACGGCCUUCGGGUUGUAAACCGCUUUCGCCUGUGACGAAGCGUGAGUGACGGUUAUGGGUAAAGAAGCACCGGCUAACUACGUGCCAGCAGCCGCGGUGAUACGUAGGGUGCGAGCGUUGUCCGGAUUUAUUGGGCGUAAAGGGCUCGUAGGUGGUUGAUCGCGUCGGAAGUGUAAUCUUGGGGCUUAACCCUGAGCGUGCUUUCGAUACGGGUUGACUUGAGGAAGGUAGGGGAGAAUGGAAUUCCUGGUGGAGCGGUGGAAUGCGCAGAUAUCAGGAGGAACACCAGUGGCGAAGGCGGUUCUCUGGGCCUUUCCUGACGCUGAGGAGCGAAAGCGUGGGGAGCGAACAGGCUUAGAUACCCUGGUAGUCCACGCUGUAAACGGUGGGUACUAGGUGUGGGGUCCAUUCCACGGGUUCCGUGCCGUAGCUAACGCUUUAAGUACCCCGCCUGGGGAGUACGGCCGCAAGGCUAAGACUCAAAGGAAUUGACGGGGCCCCGCACAAGCGGCGGAGCAUGCGGAUUAAUUCGAUGCAACGCGUAGAACCUUACCUGGGUUUGACAUGGAUCGGGAGUGCUCAGAGAUGGGUGUGCCUCUUUUGGGGUCGGUUCACAGGUGGUGCAUGGCUGUCGUCAGCUCGUGUCGUGAGAUGUUGGGUUAAGUCCCGCAACGAGCGCAACCCUUGUUCACUGUUGCCAGCACGUUAUGGUGGGGACUCAGUGGAGACCGCCGGGGUCAACUCGGAGGAAGGUGGGGAUGACGUCAAGUCAUCAUGCCCCUUAUGUCCAGGGCUUCACGCAUGCUACAAUGGCUGGUACAGAGAGUGGCGAGCCUGUGAGGGUGAGCGAAUCUCGGAAAGCCGGUCUCAGUUCGGAUUGGGGUCUGCAACUCGACCUCAUGAAGUCGGAGUCGCUAGUAAUCGCAGAUCAGCAACGCUGCGGUGAAUACGUUCCCGGG